GCAGCUCUGUAAAGGAGAGAGAUCCAAGUUGGCAUGGCAUGAAGCAGGAGGCUUCUUCAGCCUGCACAUCCUAAGAAUCCUGGAAAGGAGAUAUUGUGGAAAAAAACGAGGAGACCUGCCAGAUUUAAUUCUUGCCAAAGCCAGCCCCAAGCUGCCUGACCAAUUCUGAAGCCGUCCAAGGUGGACUGCAUGUAAGUGGCACCACCCAGGCUGAGGGAUCCUCCAGUGCGAUUUGGUCAAUAUUUUUUUCCUAGUCUUGGCAUUGUCUAAUACAGAUGAGGGAAAGGACAGGAACCAAGGCCAUCGUUAGAAGAUCUCCAUCCUCACACUGGCCUCUGCUCCCUGUUGCCAUACAUUUGAGGCCAGCAGACUUGCAGAAAACAGUUCACCUUCCAUGUUGCUGAGCUAAGCCUGAAGAUCUCCGUUCCUGCGUGACUGAGACUAUAAAAUAAAUUAUCAUCUAACAUUCAGUGCCUGAUGGGUGUCGUAAGCCAUCUGGCUGGUCAAAUAAAAG